rnacentral:rRNA from 1 species
AAAGUCGUAACAAGUUUCCGUAGGGUGAACCUGCGGAAGGAUCAUUACCGAGUGUAGGGUUCCUAGCGAGCCCAACCUCCCACCCGUGUUUACUGUACCUUAGUUGCUUCGGCGGGCCCGCCAUUCGUGGCCGCCGGGGGCUCUCAGCCCCGGGCCCGCGCCCGCCGGAGACACCACGAACUCUGUCUGAUCUAGUGAAGUCUGAGUUGAUUGUAUCGCAAUCAGUUAAAACUUUCAACAAUGGAUCUCUUGGUUCCGGCAUCGAUGAAGAACGCAGCGAAAUGCGAUAACUAGUGUGAAUUGCAGAAUUCCGUGAAUCAUCGAGUCUUUGAACGCACAUUGCGCCCCCUGGUAUUCCGGGGGGCAUGCCUGUCCGAGCGUCAUUGCUGCCCAUCAAGCACGGCUUGUGUGUUGGGUCGUCGUCCCCUCUCCGGGGGGGACGGGCCCCAAAGGCAGCGGCGGCACCGCGUCCGAUCCUCGAGCGUAUGGGGCUUUGUCACCCGCUCUGUAGGCCCGGCCGGCGCUUGCCGAACGCAAAUCAAUCUUUUCCAGGUUGACCUCGGAUCAGGUAGGGAUACCCGCUGAACUUAAGCAUAUCAAU